rnacentral:rRNA from 1 species
AUACGUAGGUGGCAAGCGUUAUCCGGAAUUAUUGGGCGUAAAGAGUGAGCAGGCGGCCUUUUAAGUCUGAAGUCAAAUGCAGUGGCUCAACCACUGUUCGCUUUGGAAACUGAGAGGCUAGAGUACGAGAGAGGUAUAUGGAAUUCCAUGUGGAGCGGUGAAAUGCGUAGAUAUAUGGAGGAACACCAGUGGCGAAGGCGAUAUACUGGAUCGAUACUGACGCUCAGUCACGAAAGCGUGGGUAGCAAAUAGGAUUAGAUACCCUAGUAGUCCACGCCGUAAACGCUGAGAACUAAGUGUUGGGGUGAAACCCAGCGCUGAAGCUAACGCAUUAAGUUCUCCGCCUGAGGAGUACGGUCGCAAGACUGAA